rnacentral:rRNA from 1 species
UACGAAGGGUGCUAGCGUUGUUCGGAAUCACUGGGCGUAAAGCGCGCGUAGGCGGCGAUACAAGUCAGGGGUGAAAUCCCACAGCUCAACUGUGGAAUUGCCUUUGAAACUAGAUCGCUAGAGUGUCGGAGGGGAUAGCGGAAUUGCUAAUGUAGAGGUGAAAUUCGUAGAUAUUAGCAGGAACACCGGUGGCGAAGGCGGCUAUCUGGACGACAACUGACGCUGAGGCGCGAAAGCGUGGGGAUCAAACAGG